UGGUUGUGAGCCACUGUGUGAGUGCU
rnacentral:piRNA from 1 species